CUCACACACUGAAUCAACGUCAACAGGAGGGGAGGUUCAAGCAGGAGCGAGCUUAAGCAAUGGACAGUUUUGUUCAACAAACUCAUCAACUGGAAUCUUGAGUGCCUCAUUGAAAAAUUUGCUGAUUCGAAAGGCAUACUAGCACUUAAAACCUUGCCUGUCAUUCUUCCCCCACCUGUGUACAAGAUUGGCCACAAAACCUUUCGGCCAACUAUUCAAGAGGCAAGAACCUCAUUCAUUGAUGUACAACCUUCUGGACCUGGAAAGGCAGAAAGAAGCGAAACCCUUCCCCUUUGUCUUGGAGCUUGGAAUUGCGGGACAGUUUUUUGUGGUGGUGAAUGGGGAAGCUCUGGAACAGGUGACUCUCCUCAAGGCUGUGGAUCUUUGUUUCAAGGCAUUUUAUUGCUUUGACAUUCACUAUCCGAAACAAUGUGCCCCUGUUUGGGAAUUUUUGCAGCAAGUAGUGUAUGGAAUGCCUGGGACAGAAAAUUCAAGCAUACGGUUUUUGCGGGCCUCCAUUUUUGCUGCAGAGGACUAAAUGAUUAAAUGACUAAAUGAGCUAUUUAUCUGUACAUUUUUCUUUCAUUUUUGUUUUACAUUUUUGGGAAGAGAUCCUUUAGCUAUUUAUUAAUCUUUAAUCUUAAAUCCUUCAAGUAUACCGUUUUCACAUGUCUCCCAUUUUUGCUGCACAGGACUAAUUGAUUGCUUAUUUAAAUGAAUUUCAAGUAUGUAAAUAGGUUUUAUUUCAUUGUAAUUUUUUGUGAAAAGAAUCUUUAGCUAAUUUACAGUUUAUAUGCAGAGUUUGUAUGUGCCUCCUAUUUUUGCUGCACAGGACUAAUUGAUUGCUUAUUUAAAUUAAUUACAAUGUACUUAUGGAUUUUUUAUUGUAAUUUUUUUGUGAAGAGAAUCUAGCUAUUUUGCACAGUUUAUACGCAGUUUUUGUGUCUCCCAUUUCCAUUUUUGAUGCACAGGACUAAUUGAUUCUUUAUUUAAAUGAAUUUCAAGUCUGUAAAUAUGUUUUAUUUCAGUGUAAUUUUUUGUGAAGAGAAUCUUUAGCUAUUCUGCACAGUUUAUACAAGUUUUUAUGUGUCUCCCAUUUCCAUUUUUGAUGCUCAGGACUAAUUGAUUGCUUAUUUAAAUGAAUGUACUUAUGUGAAGAGAAGAGAAUAUUUAGCUAUAGGCUCUUUUACAGUUACUAAAGUUUUUAUUUUGCUACACAGGA